rnacentral:rRNA from 1 species
GGUCAAGUUAUUAAGGGUGCAGGGCGGAUGCCUUGGCACUAGGAGCCGAUGAAGGACGCGAUAAGCUGCGAUAAGCUUCGGGGAGUUGCACGUAAACUUUGAUCCGAAGAUUUCCGAAUGAGGAAACUCACUUAGAGUAAUGUCUAAGUAUCAUUAAGUGAAUACAUAGCUUAAUGAGGGGAACUCAGGGAACUGAAACAUCUAAGUACCUGAAGGAAGAGAAAGAAAUUCGAUUCCGUAAGUAGCGGCGAGCGAACGCGGAAUAGCCCAAACCAAUAAAGUUUUCUUUAUUGGGGUUGCGGACAUAUCUUAAACGAAGAGGUAUCGUAAUUGAAGAGGUUUGGAAAGACCCACCACAGAAGGUAAUAGUCCUGUAUGUCAAACGAGAAAACUUCAGAUAUGAUCCAGAGUACCACGGGACACGUGAAACCCUGUGGGAAGCAGGAGGGACCACCCUCCAAGGCUAAAUACUACCUAGUGACCGAUAGCGUAUAGUACCGUGAGGGAAAGGUGAAAAGAACCCCGGGAGGGGAGUGAAAUAGAACCUGAAACCCUGCACUUACAAGCUGUGGAAGCACAUUUCUUGUGUGACCGCGUACUUUUUGUAGAACGGGCCAACGAGUUACGUUAAGUAGCAAGGUUAAGCACUUAAGGUGUGGAGCCGUAGCGAAAGCGAGUUUUAACUGAGCGUUCAGUUACUUGACGUAGACCCGAAACCGGGCGACCUACCCAUGAGCAGGAUGAAGCGAAAGUAAAAUUUCGUGGAGGUCCGAACCCACGAGCGUUGAAAAGCUCGGGGAUGACUUGUGGGUAGCGGUGAAAUUCCAAUCGAGCCCGGAGAUAGCUGGUUCUCCCCGAAAUAGCUUUAGGGCUAGCCUCAAGGUGAGAGAUACGGAGGUAGAGCACUGAAUGUCCUAGGGGGUAUUGCACCUACCGAAGACUAUCAAACUCCGAAUGCCGUCAUCUUAUACUUGGGAGUCAGACUGUGGGUGAUAAGAUUCAUAGUCGAAAGGGCAACAGCCCAGAUCGUCAGCUAAGGUCCCUAAAUGUAAGUUAAGUGGUAAAGGAUGUGGGAUUGCACAGACAACCAGGAUGUUGGCUUAGAAGCAGCCACUCAUUCAAAGAGUGCGUAAUAGCUCACUGGUCGAGUGAUCCUGCGCCGAAGAUUUCCGGGGCUAAAACUUACUACCGAAGCUACGGCAUCAGUAAUGAUGGGUAGGGGAGCUUCCCAUACGGGUUGAAGCAUGACCGUAAGGACAUGUGGACAGUAUGGGAGUGAGAAUGUUGGCAUGAGUAGCGAGAUGUGGGUGAGAAUCCCACAGGCCGUAAACCCAAGGUUUCCAGGGGAAGG